rnacentral:rRNA from 1 species
CCUACGGGUGGCUGCAGUGGGGAAUAUUGCACAAUGGGCGCAAGCCUGAUGCAGCCAUGCCGCGUGUGUGAAGAAGGCCUUCGGGUUGUAAAGCACUUUCAGCGGGGAGGAAGGCGUUAAGGUUAAUAACCUUGUCGAUUGACGUUACCCGCAGAAGAAGCACCGGCUAACUCCGUGCCAGCAGCCGCGGUAAUACGGAGGGUGCAAGCGUUAAUCGGAAUUACUGGGCGUAAAGCGCACGCAGGCGGUCUGUCAAGUCGGAUGUGAAAUCCCCGGGCUCAACCUGGGAACUGCAUUCGAAACUGGCAGGCUAGAGGCUUGUAGAGGGGGGUAGAAUUCCAGGUGUAGCGGUGAAAUGCGUAGAGAUCUGGAGGAAUACCGGUGGCGAAGGCGGCCCCCUGGACAAAGACUGACGCUCAGGUGCGAAAGCGUGGGAGCAAACAGGAUUAGAUACCCGGGUAGUC